GACGAACGCUGGCGGCGUGCCUAAUACAUGCAAGUAGAACGCACAGUUUAUACCGUAGCUUGCUACACCAUAAACUGUGAGUUGCGAACGGGUGAGUAACGCGUAGGUAACCUGCCUGGUAGCGGGGGAUAACUAUUGGAAACGAUAGCUAAUACCGCAUAAUAUUAAUUAUUGCAUGAUAAUUGAUUGAAAGAUGCAAUUGCAUCACUACCAGAUGGACCUGCGUUGUAUUAGCUAGUAGGUGAGGUAACGGCUCACCUAGGCGACGAUACAUAGCCGACCUGAGAGGGUGAUCGGCCACACUGGGACUGAGACACGGCCCAGACUCCUACGGGAGGCAGCAGUAGGGAAUCUUCGGCAAUGGACGAAAGUCUGACCGAGCAACGCCGCGUGAGUGAAGAAGGUUGUCGGAUCGUAAAGCUCUGUUGUAAGAGAAGAACGGGUGUGAGAGUGGAAAGUUCACACUGUGACGGUAUCUUACCAGAAAGGGACGGCUAACUACGUG
rnacentral:rRNA from 1 species